UGCACAGGAAGAUCCUUUGUAUAGUAAGUAUCUUCUUCAUCUUCUUCAAAAUUCAACUCUGCCAGAAGCUGGCUGGUUUUAGCUACGUUAUCAUCCACUGCUCCAUUCUGCAGAAUGCCAUCCGGUCCAUUAACCUGGGCCUCGAUGGGGCCUGCAGGGCCCUGCCCCGCUCCCGGAGCGCCUUGGGCCUGGCCGGGCCCCGCCUGCCCGGGCCCGGGCGGGGUUUGGGUCUGGCUGGGAAGGGUGAAGUCGGUGAACUCGAACUCGGAGCCCUGCGUGUCCGCGCCGAGCAGCUCGGCCUCCUCCGUGUCCAGGAAGGUGAGGGUCUGCGAGCUGGGGCCGUACGCUUCCACGCUCAUGGCGGCGGCGGUGGAGAAGAGAAGCGGCGCUUCCGCGCGCCCCCCCCACCUCGGCCGGGCCGCGCCUCACGGAGCCCGGGCGCCGCGCUACGCCAGCGGCGGGAUCCGCCGCGCGCACCAGGCCGCGCCCCCGAGAACCGGCCGCCAACGAGACCCCCGCUGCCCCGCUCGGGCGGCCCCGAACGCGGCCGAGCCGACGGCGGAAGGAAACGGAGCCGGAGGAGGGAACCGAGAGCCCCGAGGCGCUGCGAGAGGAACCGUCCGGCUGCCGCCGCGCGCCUGGGCCAAGAGCGGUGACGCGGAGCGCACGGCGGACGCCAGCACGCCCCGUGCGCGUGGGCGGGUGACGCAGCACGCACACACCUGGGAGGGCACGGCGGGAGGGGGCGGGGCCCCGCGCGGAAGGCGCGAAGGAGCGCGCGACACCGCCCACGCGCGCAGCGAGGCGCGAACCACCUGAACAGCGGAGGGGGGGGGGAGCGGGGACGCGUUGGGGGCGCCGUCAGUUCGCGCCUGAAGGAGGGGUUACACCCUCCUCAACCGGGCUCUCACGAGGAGGGCGGAGCAUGCUCGCUGACUGACUGCUGCGGCAGCCAAUGAGCCCUCGAGCUGAGGAUGAAGGGCGGGCUGCGGCGGCACAACGGCCUGUGGCGGCGCGCGGUGGAGGCCUGUGGGGGCGUUCUUGUGUGCGCUGCGGGAUGUGCGCUGUGGUGGUGGAGGGGGUCCUUGUGAGGAGAGCAAGGCCCCGUGAGGGGAGCAGGGCCCGUGUGGAGCUCUUCAUGCCUUCACUGCUGCUCCUGCGGCCUGCCCGCAUUGCUUCCUCUGUGGAAGUGAGGUGGAGUGUCUGUGGUGGUGGAGGCGUACUCAGGGCCUGCAGUUUUCCAAGACAGGUGAUUAAGAAGGCUCUAGUGUUAACAGUAAUACUUGCUCCAGCUGUAAUACCCGUCAUAUCUGUGCUGCCCCGUGUGAUUGUGGUUCUUGGUGGGCUGAAUUGGUACAAGGGGAGCGGGGCAGCCCAUGGAGGUUCUCUGUGUUGUGUGGGCACUCUGAACAGUGUUCAGUCCAUUAAUAAAGUGCUCAUUUGGGGUUUGGCUGCCCUCAUCUUGCUGUGCUUCUAUUAGCACCAAACUUGUCUCUUCUGAGGUAACUCCCAGGUGUUGUGAGAAGCACUGAUAGGAAAAGCUGCCUGCUUGUUCUGUUUUCCCCCCUGAAGCCUUCAGCUACAGCAUGCACGUGAAUAUUGCCUUUUUAAGUAACUUUAAUUUUGUUCUCCCUUUUGGUGUAGGGUAGAGCGUGGAAUGGGAACGAUGUCUGCCAAACUUACAGCUUUUAAGCUUAAAAGAUUUAAACGAAGAUUGGAAAGGAUCUCAAUGCACUGAGUACAAGAGGGGGAAACAAAGAUGGAGGGAGAAUACAGGAGUCACUGCAUCUGCUAACAUAUGGUUUGUGUUUGUGUUGAGCUUUAAGCUAUGAAGGAACAGACUUACCAGUAGGUUAUCAUAGAUGUAUCUUAAUUUGUUAAAGUAGGCUAAUUAAACAAGAAAAAGAAUAGAAAUUUGGUUGUGGGGUUAUAGCUGUCACAUCAGCUACAAUUUAUCAAGGUAAGUCAAUGUACACCCAUAUGUAAUUUCAUACAAUACGUUGAGACUUUGUGAUUCAACUUCAGGAGUCAAGCUACAUUAAACCCACUUGUAGUCUGACUGGAAAGCAUCCACAGGUGAAUUGAAUUGAUACUUUCUUAAAACCAGCUGGAAAUUGACUGUUUUGUAAUUCAGUGAGAAGCAUAACUGGGAAAAAAAAAAAAAAAAAACAGGAGGUCUUUCUUGAAAAUGAGAUCUACUUUGAAGAUUGCAUUUAUAAAUCCAGAUAGGUUGUUUUGUAUGGAUACAUUUAUGAAUAAACAGAUCACUCUUGCAACAUUUGUCCAGUUUACAGAAUCAUCAGAAGGUUUGGAAACCAAUCAAAGCUUUGAUGCGCUACUAUAUUUUUUUCCCUCUCCCUACAUAAUACAGAAGAUAAGAAUGCUUUUAAAGAGAAGCUGUUUGGAAAACUCAAUGAAGACUGUAGAUCCUGUUCUCCCUGUGCUAUCAGAAGGUUAAUUUGGCUUCUUCUGUGCAGGCAGCAGCCCCGUUGCUGUGCUCAUGGGCAGGAUUGUGCUGCUGUCUGAGGUGCUGAAGCCAGAGGGCCGCCAGGGGGUCCUGGAGAUCCCCAUAUACCCAGCGGUGUGCCCGGUGCCCCCGUUACACAAGUCAAAACUACACCCACAGUGAGUAGAGUGUGGGGAGAAUGUAGUUCACAUGGGUGUGUUUGACGAGGAGUUUAAGUGGCAAUCAGUUGUGGCCAUUGGGCUCUUGGUUAACGUGCUUAAAAAAGGGAGAAUGUAAUCAGUCUUUACACCAGUACAGAGACAUGGCUUGAGAGAACGAUGCAUUCGAAUUUCAUGACGUUAAUGCUUAAUGGUAGGCCACUGCAUUCUGGAAAUUCCUUGAACAACUUUGGUAUAUUUGAAGAUAAGCAUGUGUGCAGUCUACGCUGCAGUGCUUCCUGGAUAAUAUUUUAUUUGUGUAAGCAUUAGUUUGUGAAAGUUUUACCUUUAAAUCUGGGCUAAUGCAAAGAGGUGGCACAUGGACUCGUUGGUCUUUAUUAUUGUGCAUCCAGUAUGAAAUUCAAAAGGGUAACACUCUAAAAACAGGCGCACGUUAUCUGAGAAUGAUGGUGCGUCACUAUUUUUAUGCAUGAUUAGAAUCUAGAAUUCACAGGAUGUGCUUAGCCAUAAGAAGCUGUCCAAGAGAACUAAUGUGAGUGAGUUCAAUUUAUUGAAAAGAUUCUGCUUGCUUGCACGAGCUUGGCAGUUUAAGGUGAUUAUCUUGAAGAGGUAAUGAUAAAGGUUCCUGAUGAUUGUAAGUGUAAAACGGAAGCAUACAGCAGUUUAGCUGUUGGUAGAAAUAAUGCAUUCGUGACUCAAAAUAGUUGGCUGUGCCAGAAGAUUCUCCUUGAAAUUAAUUUCCAUUCCAACACAAGCUAUCACUGGGAUUUGAUAACAUCCUCUAUUCAGGGCUGCACAAGAGAAGUCUAAAAUCAAGCUGUGAUGAAAAGGAACAAACUGAUUGGUCUCUGCAAGCUCCGAGCCAUGGAGAUAGUGUUAGAAAGUGUCAUGAUGACGUGAAGGGUUGAAAGCCAAUCAAAUGGAGCGUGAGGAAUCUGCCAAACUGCUAUUUCAGAUGACAGAGCUGGCUAAAGAAGCCAUGUAUUUUUAUCCUGGGAGACAACAAUUCAGAUUAGGGGAAAAUAAACAUGAAGUUGAAAUCAGAUUUUCUUGGCACGGCGCUUAAGGAAGGCUUGCAUGUUACAUAUCUGAUGAUAUUGUCUCUAUAAUAAGUACCAUGGUUAUGCAAUAUGUUCACAUAUUAUAAAAUUAGGAAUACAAUCCAUUAAUUUAUUAUGCAUAUUUAAUCACUAUCUUCAUGCCUGCUCUGUUAUUUCCAAAAGUACAUUUUAACAUCUCUCUAUUUCUUCACUUUUGUUUAAUAUUUGGGUAACUCGUAUUGUUUUAAAAGGUCUAAUUUUCUGUUUGUUUUUGCCCUUUGCUCUCCUCUUUUUUAGAUAUUCAGAUGAAAAUCCC
rnacentral:lncRNA from 1 species